ACUCCUCAAAAUAAGCACAAAGUAGAGAUCAAUCACCACUUCCUUUCUCUCCUCAAGUCACGCUGCUUUCGAUCAAGAAGGGGAAACAACAAAUUCACAAUAUACAUCCCUCAUAUCUCAAGGCUUUAUGAACCAAGGAGAUUAGCGCUGCUUUCCCAAGACGAGUUUAUGUGAUUAUAAUCUUCAGGCUUUGCCUAUCCAGGUUGAGCAGUUGAUGGAAUGGAAUGAUGUUGAGCGGGUGUUCCUUUGACAUUUCAAGAAAUGUAACCUUGAGUAUACAUCUUCAUAUGUAUAUCUCACACGUUUUCCGCUGCAAAACACUUUGAUUAGGAUAACUCUAUGUUAUGAAGUUGUUACACGUGUUAUUGGGUAAACCACCUUAAUCAGUUCUCUUUUAUGUGUAUGUUUUAUAAGUAUCCAAAUGAUCAUAUAUGAUCCUAGCCUUUUUAUCUAUAAGUGAUAUUUUCAUAUACUUUAAUGUUAAGUAAUUGUCCAUUUCCA